rnacentral:rRNA from 1 species
GACGAACCGUGCAAACGUUAUUCGGAAUCACUGGGCGUAAAGGGCGCGUAGGCGGCCUUCUAAGUCGAACGUGAAAUCCCCGGGCUCAACCCGGGAACUGCGUCCGAUACUGGAAGGCUUGAAUCCGGGAGAGGGAUGCGGAAUUCCAGGUGUAGCGGUGAAAUGCGUAGAUAUCUGGAGGAACACCGGUGGCGAAGGCGGCUCUCUGGAACGCAACUGACGCUGAGACGCGAAAGCGUGGGGAGCAAACAGGG